rnacentral:rRNA from 1 species
CGGUGUUUAACUGGCGUGAUGUGGGACGUCCUACCGGUGGGCUUAGCCUCGCGAGGGGCGGCCCAACUAAUAUCCCGUCGCGGUGCUCUUUACUGAGUGUCGAGUCGGGCCGGUACGUUUACUUUGAACAAAUUAGAGUGCUUAAAGCAGGCUAUCCUCGCCUGAAUACUGCGUGCAUGGAAUAAUGGAAUAGGACCUCGGUUCUAUUUUGUUGGUUUUCGGAACCCCGAGGUAAUGAUUAAUAGGGACAGAUGGGGGCAUUCGUAUUGCGACGUUAGAGGUGAAAUUCUUGGAUCGUCGCAAGACGGACAGAAGCGAAAGCAUCUGCCAAAAAUGUUCUCAUUAAUCAAGAACGAAAGUUAGAGGUUCGAAGGCGAUCAGAUACCGCCCUAGUUCUAACCAUAAACGAUGCCAGCUAGCGAUCCGCCGAAGUUCCUCCGAUGACUCGGCGGGCAGCUUCCGGGAAACCAAAGCUUUUGGGUUCCGGGGGAAGUAUGGUUGCAAAGCUGAAACUUAAAGGAAUUGACGGAAGGGCACCACCAGGAGUGGAGCGUGCGGCUUAAUUUGACUCAACACGGGAAACCUCACCAGGCCCAGACACCGGAAGGAUUGACAGAUUGAUAGCUCUUUCUUGAUUCGGUGGGUGGUGGUGCAUGGCCGUUCUUAGUUGGUGGAGCGAUUUGUCUGGUUAAUUCCGAUAACGAACGAGACUCUAGCCUGCUAAAUAGGCGUACCUUAUGGUAUCGCGAAGGCCCCCGGCUUCGGCCGGUGGGUUUUUACUACCAACGUACAAACAAAUCUUCUUAGAGGGACAGGCGG